rnacentral:rRNA from 1 species
GAUGAACGCUGGCGGCGUGCCUAAUACAUGCAAGUCGAGCGAACAGACGAGGAGCUUGCUCCUCUGACGUUAGCGGCGGACGGGUGAGUAACACGUGGAUAACCUACCUAUAAGACUGGGAUAACUUCGGGAAACCGGAGCUAAUACCGGAUAAUAUAUUGAACCGCAUGGUUCAAUAGUGAAAGACGGUUUUGCUGUCACUUAUAGAUGGAUCCGCGCCGCAUUAGCUAGUUGGUAAGGUAACGGCUUACCAAGGCAACGAUGCGUAGCCGACCUGAGAGGGUGAUCGGCCAGACUGGAAGGGAGACACGGGCCAGACGCCUACGGGAGGCAGCAGUAGGGAAUCUUCCGCAAUGGGCGAAAGCUUGACGGAGCAACGCCGCGUGAGUGAUGAAGGUCUUCGGAUCGUAAAACUCUGUUAUUAGGGAAGAACAAAUGUGUAAGUAACUAUGCACGUCUUGACGGUACCUAAUCAGAAAGCCACGGCUAACUACGUG